GAGAGUUAAACAGUACGUGAAAUUGUUGAAAGGGAAACGAUUGAAGUCAGUCAUACCAACGGGAAAUCAACCUUUUGAGCUCGGUCUCGUGGGUUUUGAAGAGUUUCAAAGCCUUCGGAUUCGCGGGAUUGGGAUCUCUUGGUGUACUUUUUCGUACGGUUAGUCAACAUCGGUUUUGAAUGUCAUAAAAUGACUGGAGGAAUGUAGCUUCGAUCUCGUAUUGAAGUGUUAUAGCCUUUGGUAGAUGUGAUGUUUGAGACCGAGGAUUGCAACGGAUACCCUUCAGGGCUAUUCGUCUGAUCUCUGAUACGUUGCCCUGAUGUUGAAAGCUUGCUUAUGAUGUUAGGGUAUUACGGUCAAAAGGUUAGAACGAAUUACAUUCGUUAAGGAUGUUGACGUAAUGACUUUAAACGA
rnacentral:rRNA from 1 species